UGACGAGUCCCAAUUAGGACGAAACGCGCGUC
rnacentral:hammerhead_ribozyme from 1 species